rnacentral:rRNA from 1 species
AGAGUUUGAUCCUGGCUCAGGACGAACGCUGGCGGCGUGCCUAAUACAUGCAAGUCGAACGAGGCUUUUUGAUUGAUGCUUGCAUCAGCUAAAAAGCCGAGUGGCGAAUGGGUGAGUAACACGUGGGUAACUUGCCUUGAAGCGGGGGAUAACAUUUGGAAACAGAUGCUAAUACCGCAUAACCACAAAAACCUCCUGGUUUUUGUGUCAAAGAUGGUUCUGCUAUCACUUCAAGAUGGACCCGCGGCGUAUUAGCUUGUUGGUGAGGUAACGGCUCACCAAGGCAAUGAUACGUAGCCGAACUGAGAGGUUGAUCGGCCACAUUGGGACUGAGACACGGCCCAAACUCCUACGGGAGGCAGCAGUAGGGAAUCUUCCACAAUGGACGCAAGUCUGAUGGAGCAACGCCGCGUGAGUGAAGAAGGUCUUCGGGAUCGUAAAACUCUGUUGUCAGAGAAGAACGUGCGUGAGAGCAACUGUUCAUGCAGUGACGGUAUCUGACCAGAAAGUCACGGCUAACUACGUGCCAGCAGCCGCGGUAAUACGUAGGUGGCAAGCGUUGUCCGGAUUUAUUGGGGCGUAAAGGGAACGCAGGCGGUCUUUUUAAGUUCUGAUGUGAAAGCCUUCGGCUUAACCGAAGUCGUUGCAUUGGAAACUGGGGGGACUUGGAGUGCAGAAGAGGAAGAGUGGAACCUCCAUGUGUAGCGGUGAAAUGCGAUAGAAUAUAUGGAAAGAACAUCCAGUGGGCGAAAGCGGGCUCUCUCUGGGUCUUGUAAACUGGACGCUGGAGGUUCCGAAAGGCGGUGGGGUAGCCAAACAGAUUUAGAAAUACCCUUGGUUAGUCCACCCCGUAAACGAAUGAAUGCUAAGUGUUGGAGGGUUUCCGCCCUUCAGUGCCGCAGCUAACGCAUUAAGCAUUCCGCCUGGGGAGUACGAUCGCAAGAUUGAAACUCAAAGGAAUUGACGGGGGCCCGCACAAGCGGUGGAGCAUGUGGUUUAAUUCGAAGCAACGCGAAGAACCUUACCAGGUCUUGACAUCUUUUGCCAGGCUGAGAGAUCAGCUGUUCCCUUCGGGGACAAAAUGACAGGUGGUGCAUGGUUGUCGUCAGCUCGUGUCGUGAGAUGUUGGGUUAAGUCCCGCAACGAGCGCAACCCUUGUUAUUAGUUGCCAGCAUUAAGUUGGGCACUCUAAUGAGACUGCCGGUGACAAACCGGAGGAAGGUGGGGAUGACGUCAAGUCAUCAUGCCCCUUAUGACCUGGGCUACACACGUGCUACAAUGGGCAGUACAACGAGAAGCAAGCCUGCGAAGGCAAGCGAAUCUCUGAAAGCUGUUCUCAGUUCGGACUGCAGUCUGCAACUCGACUGCACGAAGCUGGAAUCGCUAGUAAUCGCGGAUCAGCACGCCGCGGUGAAUACGUUCCCGGGCCUUGUACACACCGCCCGUCACACCAUGGGAGUCUGCAAUGCCCAAAGCCGGUGGCCUAACCUUCGGGAAGGAGCCGUCUAAGGCAGGGCAGAUGACUGGUGAAGUCGUAACAAGGUAACC